rnacentral:rRNA from 1 species
ACGGGAGGCAGCAGUGGGGAAUAUUGGGCAAUGGGCGAAAGCCUGACCCAGCAACGCCGCGUGAAGGAAGAAGGUUUUCGGAUUGUAAACUUCUGUCCUAAGGGAAGAAGAAAGUGACGGUACCUUAGGAGGAAGCCCCGGCUAACUACGUGCCAGCAGCCGCGGUAAUACGUAGGGGGCGAGCGUUAUCCGGAAUGACUGGGCGUAAAGGGCGUGUAGGCGGUCAGCUAAGUCUGAUGUGAAAUACCCGUUUUCAAGAUGGGUCGUGCAUUGGAAACUGGCAGACUAGAGUGCAGAAGAGGUAAGUGGAAUUCCCAGUGUAGCGGUGAAAUGCGUAGAGAUUGGGAGGAACACCAGUGGCGAAGGCGACUUACUGGGCUGCAACUGACGCUGAGGCGCGAAAGCGUGGGGAGCAAACAGGAUUAGAUACCCUGGUA